rnacentral:ncRNA from 1 species
AUAAAUAAAUUUUUUAUGAUUUAAUAAUUUUUUUUUAAAUUUAUUUUACAUAUAAAUUUUAGUAUUAAUUUUUAAUUAUUUUAAUAAUAUAUAAUUUUUUGUAGUAAUUUAUAUUAAAAAUUUAAGAAAUUAAGAUUUAGUAAUAUAAAAAUUAAUAACAAAUUUUGUGCCAGCAGUUGCGGUUAUACAAAAAUUAAAUAAAAUUUUAUUAGUAAUUAAUGAAUAUAAGAAAAAUUUAAUUUAAAUAUUAAAUUAUUAAGUGAAAUUUUAAUUUAUUUUAAAAUUAUAUUUAAAAUAUGAUUUAGGAAAUUUUAAUAUAAACUAGGAUUAGAUACCCUAUUAUUAAAAAUUUAAAUAUAAAUACUAAAAUAGUAUGUAAUUAUUUAUUGAAACUUAAAUAAUUUGGCGGUAUUUUAGUUUAUUUAGAGGAAUCUGUUUAUUAAUUGAUAAUCCACGAAUAAUUUUACUUAAUUUAUAAUUUUGUAUAUCGUUGUUAUAAAAAUAUUUUUUAAUAAUUUUAAUAUUUUAUAAUUUUAAAUUAAAAUUAAAUCAGAUCAAGAUGCAGAUUAUAAUUAAGAAUAUAAUGGAUUACAAUAAAUUUAUUUAUAUGAAUAUUAAUUUGAAAUAAUUAAUUGAAAUUGGAUUUAAAUGUAAUUUUAUUUAAUUUAAUAAAAUGAUUAAAAAUUAAAAUAUGUACAUAUUGCCCGUCGCUUUCAUUUAUAAAUUGAAAUAAGUCGUAACAAAGUAGAAGUACUGGAAAGUGUUUCUAGAAAGAA